rnacentral:lncRNA from 1 species
GCUAGAUAAUGUGUAUGAUGUUAAGGUUGAUGGUGUUCCUAGCGUUGCUUUGGGCAAGGGUGUCAUGAUGAUGGUGAUCACCAUCACAGUGGCGGUGAUAGCGAUGGGGAGAGUUAAGGGUGGGGCGGGGAUUGGUAAUGGAGAUGAUGGUGGUGACAAUGGUGAUAGCGAUGCUAUUGCUGGUCGUUGUGGUCGUGAUGAAGGCAAUGUUGGGGGUGGUGAUGAUGGAGUUCAUGGCCAUAAAAACAGUGAGGGGGAUGGCAAUAGUGAUGAUUAUGAUAAAGAUUAGUUUGCAGAUUGAAACCCUCAAGGUCCUUUCGUAGUGUUCAUGGAAUAAUCUCAGAGAAUUUAUUAAAUUAUCUCCUUCUGUCUUCAGGCAAGGAAACUCUAAAUCAACUUUCUACCGUUGCUCGUGGGCAGACAGUGAUGCAGAAUGAAGCAGGUCCGACAGAUCUCCCAUGGAGUCCACUUCCCCGUCCGCAGCCCCGGGCUUGCCCCGUUCCCAGAGCCAGGGCUGUGCCACAGGGCAGGGGCCCACAGAGCAGACGGUCCACCCAGAGCACUCAGAAGCCAGGAGGCAGGAGGUUAGGGAGCUGACUGUAAGCGAGCUGCAGGAAUGGGGAAGGCAGGGCUGACAACCUGGGAUGGAACUGCCUGAGGCUUCCAGGAAAGUCACUUGUGUGGAGAACUCCUGAGGCAAGAGAGCCCUGAAGCCAGGUCAAAGAUUGCCUCCAACAAGGGACCGUUACACCCACCCUGUUACAGGAGCGCCCAGCAGCUGACCUCUCGGGGCAGAGAAGCCUGGGCCUAUAACAAAGGUUGUUACAGCCCUCCCUGGGAGGUCCUGACCAGCCCCACCUGGGCUCCAUGACUUCACCCUUCCUCAGGAUGCUCAGGGCUCAGAAGCAGAGAGGUCAGGUGAGCUGAGGUUUGGAGAGAUCCCCCGGGGACUUGUGAAUCACAUGGUGGCCUUUGAGAUGCUUGCCAUCUGGGGAAUCAGCCACAUAAAUUCCCCAAGUGGACACUCUGUUCUGUA